GUAGUCAUAUGCUUGUCUCAAAGAUUAAGCCAUGCAUGUCUAAGUAUAAGCAAUUUAUACGGUGAAACUGCGAAUGGCUCAUUAAAUCAGUUAUCGUUUAUUUGAUAGUACCUUACUACAUGGAUACCUGUGGUAAUUCUAGAGCUAAUACAUGCUGAAAACCCCGACUUCGGAAGGGGUGUAUUUAUUAGAUAAAAAACCAAUGCCCUUCGGGGCUUCUUGGUGAUUCAUAAUAACUAAACGAAUCGCAUGGCCUUGUGCCGGUGAUGGUUCAUUCAAAUUUCUGCCCUAUCAACUUUCGAUGGUAGGAUAGUGGCCUACCAUGGUGGCAACGGGUAACGGGGAAUUAGGGUUCGAUUCCGGAGAGGGAGCCUGAGAAACGGCUACCACAUCCAAGGAAGGCAGCAGGCGCGCAAAUUACCCAAUCCCGAUACGGGGAGGUAGUGACAAUAAAUACCGAUACAGGGCUCUUUUGGGUCUUGUAACCGGAAUGAGUACAAUUUAAAUCCCUUAACGAGGA
rnacentral:rRNA from 2 species